GGGGUCGUCGGCUAGCUUGGUUAGGCCUCGUGGUUUGGGGCCACGAAACCCGUGUUCAAAUCACGGCGACCCCA
rnacentral:tRNA from 1 species